rnacentral:rRNA from 1 species
AACCUGCCUGGAGUUGUUUCUGGGUACCGCCACCUGAAUGUAUAGGGGUGGUGGGGCGG